ensembl:lncRNA
GAAGACAGGUGAGUUGGUUUGUCUAUAUUGUCUGACUUUAGCAUCGAGCUAGCCGCGGAAACAGGUGAGUUGGUAUGUCUAUAUGGUCUGACUUUAGCAUCGAGCUAGCCAUGAAGACAGGUGAGUUGGUGUGUCUAUAUUGUCUGACUUUAGCAUCGAGCUAGCCAUGAAGACAGGUGAGUUGGUUUGUCUAUAUUGUCUGACUUUAGCAUCGAGCUAGCCGCGGAAACAGGUGAGUUGGUUUGUCUAUAUUGUCUGACUUUAGCAUCGAGCUAGCCAUGAAGACAGGUGAGUUGGUGUGUCUAUAUUGUCUGACUUUAGCAUCGAGCUAGCCAUGAAGACAGGUGAGUUGGUUUGUCUAUAUUGUCUGACUUUAGCAUCGAGCUAGCCGCGGAAACAGGUGAGUUGGUAUGUCUAUAUUGUCUGACUUUAGCAUCGAGCUAGCCGCGGAAACAGGUGAGUUGGUUUGUCUAUAUGGUCUUUACUUUGUUUCUAGUUUGUUUAUGUGUUUGUGUGUAUUUGCAUCUUCUCAUGGGGAGUUUGGUAUUUUUCUGUGUCUUUAGAUCCCAUCACUUCCUUACCGACGAACAGGUGGGCUCAGUCAGUAUCCUACUAUCUUGUCUCAUUGCUACAACUCCCGUACGGGCUCGGGAGAAACGAAGGUCGAAGGUCCUCCGAUACACAACUCAACCAAGCUGCACUGCUUCUUA